UUACACAUGCAAGUCGAGGGGUAUAGUUCUUCGGAGCUAGAGACCGGCGCACGGGUCCUUAACGCGUAUGCAAUCUACCUUUUACAGAGGGAUAGCCCAGAGAAAUUUGGAUUAAUACCUCAUAGUAUGUGAGAAUCGCAUGGUUUUCACAUUAAAGUCACAACGGUAAAAGAUGAGCAUGCGUCCCAUUAGCUAGAUGGUAAGGUAACGGCUUACCAUGGCAACGAUGGGUAGGGGUCCUGAGAGGGAGAUCCCCCACACUGGUACUGAGACACGGACCAGACUCCUACGGGAGGCAGCAGUGAGGAAUAUUGGACAAUGGGCGCAAGCCUGAUCCAGCCAUGCCGCGUGCAGGAUGACGGUCCUAUGGAUUGUAAACUGCUUUUGUACAGGAAGAAACACUCCCUCGUGAGGGAGCUUGACGGUACUGUAAGAAUAAGGAUCGGCUAACUCCGUGCCAGCAGCCGCGGUAAUACGGAGGAUCCAAGCGUUAUCCGGAAUCAUUGGGUUUAAAGGGUCCGUAGGCGGUUUAAUAAGUCAGUGGUGAAAGCCCAUCGCUCAACGGUGGAACGGCCAUUGAUACUGUUAAACUUGAAUUAUUAGGAAGUAACUAGAAUAUGUAGUGUAGCGGUGAAAUGCUUAGAGAUUACAUGGAAUACCAAUUGCGAAGGCAGGUUACUACUAAUGGAUUGACGCUGAUGGACGAAAGCGUGGGUAGCGAACAGGAUUAGAUACCCUGGUAGUCCACGCCGUAAACGAUGGAUACUAGCUGUUGGGAGCAAUCUCAGUGGCUAAGCGAAAGUGAUAAGUAUCCCACCUGGGGAGUACGUUCGCAAGAAUGAAACUCAAAGGAAUUGACGGGGGCCCGCACAAGCGGUGGAGCAUGUGGUUUGAUUCGAUGAUA
rnacentral:rRNA from 1 species